rnacentral:rRNA from 1 species
AACGAACGCUGGCGGCAUGCCUAACACAUGCAAGUCGAACGAGACCUUCGGGUCUAGUGGCGCACGGGUGCGUAACACGUGGGAAUUUGCCUCGGGGUAUGGAAUAACUCAGGGAAACUUGAGCUAAUACCAUAUAAUGUCUUCGGACCAAAGAUUUAUCGCCCUGAGAUAAGCCCGCGUAGGAUUAGCUAGUUGGUGGGGUAAAGGCUCACCAAGGCGACGAUCCUUAGCUGGUCUGAGAGGAUGAUCAGUCACACUGGAACUGAGACACGGACCAGACUCCUACGGGAGGCAGCAGUGAGGAAUAUUGGACAAUGGGCGCAAGCCUGAUCCAGCCAUGCCGCGUGCAGGAUGACGGUCCUAUGGAUUGUAAACUGCUUUUGUACAGGAAGAAACACUCCCUCGUGAGGGAGCUUGACGGUACUGUAAGAAUAAGGAUCGGCUAACUCCGUGCCAGCAGCCGCGGUAAAGUGACUACUG